AUGGUGCUAACACAAUUAUCUAAUCUUUUAUAUUUCCAAAUUGGGGCCCGGUUUGAUUCGAUUCGCCAAACAAUUCGAAUUUGAAUGGAUCGCCGUCCAUACUUAUUUACUUGAUCGUGUAUAAUCCGGCGGGAAGAGCCGGCGCCGCUGUUUUAUCCUCGGCGGAGGCUUCUCCGUCGCCGUAUCAUCGGUUUCUCCGUCACCGCCGAGGUUGUCUGUGAUCGGCGAUCGCCACCUUCAUCGCAGCUCGCAAAGCUAUUAUCGGCUUCUCGCUGAUCUCACGAGGGUUGAGGCUUUUGGGCUUUUCAAAGGGAUGGUUGGAUUAUGUUUCUUUAAAUUCUGCAGUAUUGGCAAAUGGGUACUAGUGGAUCAACUGCUUUUCUAACAUGCAGGACUCUCAAUGAAUGUAUUAAAUAUGGUAAUUGUGAUCCCACAGGUAUAAUUUUACUUGUAGCUGUGUAUUUAUUCAUUUCCUGUCACUAUCUUGGCUUCUUCCUUCUUAUUUCAAGAAAGCAGUACAAGGGUCAUAAACUAGCAUUAACUAUACACACUGAAUCACUGAUUUUGGGGGUUUCAACAACUUUUGGGUCAUCAAGUAUCAUCUGAAUCUUUUCCAUUUAACCAAAUGUGUCUGAAAGAGAAGAAUAGUACUCAGAAAUCUGAAUGAAAUGUGUAUUUAUUCAGUUUUGCAUGCUGAUUAACAUUUAAUAUGUGCAUUCAUUGCAUAUUUGCAUUACAUUAGAAUAUUGGUUUGUAUAGUGGCUAAAUGCUUGCCCAUUGCAUAUUCUCCAUUCUCUGUUUUUUUUUUUUCCCUCAAGACACUGUGUUUGUUUAUGGUCUUCUAUGAUUUAGAAAGGUUAAAUUAAAACUAUUCUACAUACAUGAUAACACUUAUAAAUGGCAAACUUCGUGAGAUACAAAACUAGUGAUCAUGGUGAUUACAAGGAUAGCCAAUUUAAAAAGAGAGGUUAAGUAAAAGUAAUCUCAUGCUGUCAUGCAUAUGCAAAUGCUUGUUUCUUCAGCUAUUGUAAGGUCCUGAUCUCUCCAGCACAAAGACAUCCAUCUGUCAGAACAUUUAUAUGGCCAUAUGGGGCAUGGUAUUAUUUACUUCAAUUUACUGCUAACAUUGGCUUGGACAAAGAUUCCAUACAUGUAUCUAUCACAUCAUUUAAUAAAGUUGCUUCCAACUUAUGGGGAAAACUUCUGGUUUUCUACAAAUCUUCCCUAUAUUAUAAUUCAUAGUAGCUUUUUUUUUUUUUUUGGACUAAAAUCCUUUAGCCAAGUAAUGUCUAGGAGAACAAUGAUCACAAGGAAAUAUAUUACAGAGUAGUGAAGUUAUUAACUGAAAUGAUAUUUGUAUUCCUAUUAAUCACUUCCUAUCUUAAUACAGUUUUGUCAGAUGACUUAAAUUAUAUAUAGGUAAUAUUUUGGCGCGAUCAUCAGAAAUUCAUCAUUUUAUAGCCUUUACAUCUGACCAGUGCACGUAAUGUGGGGGUGUUAAUUAUAGUGCCAUGUCAUUAUGCAGUAGAAGUGAAUCAUAAUUAGUAUUCUACUGUGAUUAUAUGGAAUUAUGAAUUAUUUUCUUAGCUAAUUGUGCAGAUAAAUGUUCUGUGGCUAAUAAUCCGGAAAGCAAAAGAAGCUUCAAUAAUGGAUUCCAGGAUCAUUCUCGAGAGUACAUUACCAAUUAAAAUAUGUUGCAUAUUGCUGCUUGGAUAUAUUGCUAAGAAAUAAAUUUAAAAAACAUCAGGUUUUUUGCAUAUUAUUUGUCUGAUUGGUUAUUAAGGGACACACAAAAAUGUCCAGGAAUCUCACCUAUUUUAUGCAUGAAAUUGGUGAUUGACCUUAUAGAAUGUGUUUAUGGCCAGUGAUUCUUGUGAGUUGUGCUGAUGGAAACCUUGAUUAAGAUUUGUCCGCUAUUUUGAGUUUUGUAUUGGGGAAGCUGGGCUAAUUUUGUAUGGAGGACCCCUUUAUUAAUAUUCUCUUUUUCUUGCUUUCAUCUGAACUUGAGAAUAAAUUCUGAUGCAUGGUUAUUGCAUUUAUACUAUCUAGAAAAAGCUGGUCUGUAGUCAGUUCACCAUUUUAAUAAUGAAAAUCUGCUGGCAAUGUUUCAUUUAAUCAUCACCAGAAAUUUUAAAUAAGCAUGUCUGAAAUGACAGAGUAAAAUGCUUUAGUAGGUCUUUAAUGUGUUAAUGAUAUCCUUGGCUAGGCUAAUGUCUAUUUAAGAUGGGAGAUGUAGAAGAUUGGGAAAAGGCCUCUGGGAUGGGACAUUUUUUUAAUAUUUUGUAGAUAUUCUUUAUGGAAAGGAGAAAGACUAUACUGAAAAUGAGACCUUAGCUGCCAUCCUUUCCUUAUUGUAAAAAGGAAAGAAUUAGAACCAAUGAAUCGGUUCUUAUUAAUACACAACUAUUACCUUUUUGAGUUUUUGGGAAAAUGUCUUAUCAUUUUUUGUGAAAGUUCUCUGUUUUGCAGACAUUACAUUAACUAAGAAUUCUUUCUCUGUUUUAAAAGUUGUUGUAUGUGCUAAACUUGGCAUAUAAUGAUGCUUAGUCCUUGCUGGCAAAUGCUGUAAAAGAAUAAACUUGCAAAUCAAUCUGAGUCUGAUAUGACUGUACAAGUGAAUCAGAUCCGUUCAUGAUCCUUGGACUUUUUUGUCAAUUUUUAUUAGAGUAAUGCUACUCAACCCUCCAAAAUGUUUCUCUCCUUACAUCAAAUUUUGCUAAUUGAACAACUAACUUUCUUUUUAACUAAUGGUGGGGUCGCUCAAUUCAUGUACACUCAAUAAUUAUAAGCUGCAUCAUUUUUGUAAAUAUUACAGGAAAAAUUUAGUGGGGAAAAUAGCAUUUUUCCUUUUUGUUAUUGCUGCAAUCUGAUGGUAUUGGUAUCUACCCUUUGCCAACCCCACUUUGCAGUUCUUUUGAUUACAAUUCAGAAAUCACACACACAAAAGAAAAAACGUAUCUUGCAGUAGUACUGUUUGUUACCUCUAUGCAUUUUACUUAGAGAUACUAGUGUUAUUGCUUUCCUUUUUAAACAAUGAUUUUUGACAGGAGGUAUUAGGAUUAUUAAAAUGUGCUGAACGAUGAGGUAAAAUUCAUGCCCCCCCAAACCUGUUUUGGAAUUCGGGUUAUGAUUUUCUUGAAGUUUGUUUCAUGCAGAGAUGUUAGAAAAAAAGAAAAAAUUAAAGCAGAAAUUCAGUGCUUUUGUUGUUUGAGGAGAUGAUGUCUACUGUCACCGCAUCUGUUUCUGAUUCUGCUUUGCUCUGUUCUGUUCUUUUUCCCUUGGCGUUUGCAGGCACAUACACACACACACAGAGGAGAGGAAAAGGCCCCCCACUUGGAGACGUUCUCAUCCUUUGUUCUGAAAAAUGGAUACAAAAUUCAAAUGGUUGCAAAUGCAGCACGUAAGAGGAAGAAAUUAAAAAUAAAAUAAAAUAAAGGAUGGGUUUGUUUGUUUUUACAGUUAUAUAUAUAUAUAUUAAUUUAAUUUUCAGUGUGUUUCCUUUCUCCCGUCUGCCGGUUCUCCAUACAGCCAUCUACUGCUACUGUCACCCUCCAUUAACCUUGGUGGUCCCUCUGCAGUUUUGCAUGAUGAUAAUGGAUGAUGGUGGUGGUGAUGAUGAUGAUGAACUACCAUGGUACCAUUCCCCUCUCUCUCUCACGUACCACUACAAAUUUGGAUAAGCUUUAAAGCUAACCACUCGGUAAUUUGGAAUGAAUCCACCCUAGUGAUAUAAUCUGUUACUAAUGUAUACAUCUUGUAAUCGACUGUUUAGGCCACUCCAUAAACCCCACCUCUUGUUAGUUCACACGUUCCUUUCCGGUUCA